rnacentral:rRNA from 1 species
AGUGCGGCGUGCUAUACAUGCAGUCGAGCGCAGGAAGCUCACGGAACUCUUCGGAGGGAAGUGAAGGGAAUGAGCGGCGGACGGGUGAGUAACACGUAAGGAACCUGCCCCAAGGAUUGGGAUAACUCCGAGAAAUCGGAGCUAAUACCGAAUAGUUCUUCAGACCGCAUGGUCUGAUGAUGAAAGGCGCUCCGGCGUCACCUUGGGAUGGCCUUGCGGUGCAUUAGCUAGUUGGUGGGGUAAUGGCCCACCAAGGCGACGAUGCAUAGCCGACCUGAGAGGGUGAUCGGCCACACUGGGACUGAGACACGGCCCAGACUCCUACGGGAGGCAGCAGUAGGGAAUCUUCCACAAUGGACGAAAGUCUGAUGGAGCAACGCCGCGUGAGUGAUGAAGGUUUUCGGAUCGUAAAACUCUGUUGUAAGGGAAGAACAGGUAUGAGAGGUAAUGCUCAUGCUAUGACGGUACCUUACGAGAAAGCCACGGCUAACUACGUGCCAGCAGCCGCGGUAAUACGUAGGUGGCAAGCGUUGUCCGGAAUUAUUGGGCGUAAAGCGCGCGCAGGCGGCCUUUUAAGUCUGAUGUGAAAGCCCCCGGCUCAACCGGGGAGGGUCAUUGGAAACUGGAAGGCUUGAGUACAGAAGAGAAGAGUGGAAUUCCAUGUGUAGCGGUGAAAUGCGUAGAGAUGUGGAGGAACACCAGUGGCGAAGGCGACUCUUUGGUCUGUAACUGACGCUGAGGCGCGAAAGCGUGGGGAGCAAACAGGAUUAGAUACCCUGGUAGUCCACGCCGUAAACGAUGAGUGCUAGGUGUUGGGGGGUUUCCGCCCCUCAGUGCUGAAGCUAACGCAUUAAGCACUCCGCCUGGGGAGUACGGCGCAAGGCUGAAACUCAGAGAAAUAUGACCGG